UGUGUUCUGUAAAGGUAGAUUUAUCUAAUUUUCACUCAUUUUUUCUGUUUUUAAGCCAUUUGAACGUUUUUGGAUAUGCAGGUUUUUCAGAUCUGGAUUUAAUAUGCAGGUUUUUCAGAUCUGGAAGAAUUCUGGGACGACUUAACUGUUAGUCGUCUAGAAGUCGUCUGGAAGUCAUCUGGACUUCUCGGAAGUCUUCUGACAAAGUCGUCUGGACUUCCUGUAAAGUCGUCUGAACUUCCUG
rnacentral:lncRNA from 1 species